rnacentral:rRNA from 1 species
AAAUUGAAGAGUUUGAUCAUGGCUCAGAUUGAACGCUGGCGGCAGGCCUAACACAUGCAAGUCGAGCGGAAACGAGUUAUCAGAACCUUCGGGGGACGAUAACGGCGUCGAGCGGCGGACGGGUGAGUAAUGCCUAGGAAAUUGCCCUGAUGUG